AUGAGGAUCACCAAACAAUGCAACCUGCCACUUUCUUUGGGUAAGCAUUAUCGCUCAAAUGUGUUGUGUGAUGUGGUUGACAUGGAUGCCAGCCAUGUUCUUCUUGGGAGGCCUUGGCAAUUUGAUGUGGAUACUACACACAAGGGCAAGGAAAAUUCUUACUCUUUCAUUUGGAACAAGAGAAGGAUCAUUAUAUUACCAAACAAACCCGAAGGUAAUACCUCUAAGGAGGAGGGGAAAACUAUGUUAACUAUCUCCCAUACCUCUCAUGAGUUUAUGGAAGACUUGAAGGAGGCAGAUUUGUGUGAUGCACUUGUUGUAAAGGGAGAAGAGCACCUGACUGUUGAAAUUCCAGCAAAGGUACGUGGUUUAUUGGCAGAAUUUCAGAACAUACUUGGGGAGCCACAUGGCUUGCCACCGAUGAGAGGAAUUCAACAUAGAAUUGACUUAAUUCCAGGAGCAAGUCUUCCUAAUCUCCCACAGUAUCGAAUGAGCCCAAAGGAGCAUGGUAUAUUGAAGGAGAAAGUGGAGGAAUUGUUGCAAAAGGGGCACAUUCGAGAAAGUAUUAGCCCAUGUGCUGUACCAGCCCUACUCGCGCCAAAGAAAGAUGGAUCUUGA
rnacentral:rRNA from 1 species